rnacentral:rRNA from 1 species
AAUCAACGCUGGCGGCGUGCCUCAGACAUGCAAGUCGAACGAUUAAACUUUCCUUCGGGAAAGAUAUAAAGUGGCGCACGGGUGAGUAACACGUAAGUAAUCUACCCUCGAGUGGGGAAUAACGUUCGGAAACGGACGCUAAUACCGCAUAAUGCAGCGGCACCGCAAGGUGACAGUUGUUAAAGAUUUAUCGCUUGAGGAGGAGCUUGCGGCAGAUUAGCUAGUUGGUAAGGUAACGGCUACCAAGGCUACGAUCUGUAACCGGUCUAAGAGGACGGUCGGUCACACUGACACUGAAUAACGGGUCAGACUCCUACGGGAGGCAGCAGUCGGGAA